GCCUGGCUAGCUCAAUCAGUAGAGCAUGAAACUCUUAAUCCUGGGGUCGUGGGUUCGAGCCCCAUGUUGGGUG